rnacentral:rRNA from 1 species
UACGGGGGGAGCAAGCGUUGUUCGGAUUUACUGGGCGUAAAGGGCGCGUAGGCGGUCAGCACAAGUCAGUUGUGAAAUCUCCGAGCUUAACUCGGAAAGGUCAACUGAAACUGUGCGACUAGAGUGCGGAAGGGGGCAACUGGAAUUCUUGGUGUAACGGUGAAAUGCGUAGAUAUCAAGAGGAACACCUGCGGCGAAGGCGGGGUCUCUGGACAGUUCCUGACGCUGAGGCACGAAGGUCAGGGGAGCAAACGGG